rfam:Triticum aestivum genome assembly, contig: Triticum_aestivum_CS42_TGACv1_scaffold_130203_2BL
AUUAUACUCCCUACGUCCCGAAUUACUUGUCUUAGAUUUGUCUACAUACGGGUGUAUCUAACACUGAACGUGUCUAGAACUCUAGAUACAUCCAUAUCUAGACAAAUCUAAGACAAGUAAUUUGGGACAAAGGUGAUAUUUC